GAUGAACGCUGGCGGCGUGCCUAAUACAUGCAAGUCGAGCGAACAGACGAGGAGCUUGCUCCUCUGACGUUAGCGGCGGACGGGUGAGUAACACGUGGAUAACCUACCUAUAAGACUGGGAUAACUUCGGGAAACCGGAGCUAAUACCGGAUAAUAUAUUGAACCGCAUGGUUCAAUAGUGAAAGACGGUUUUGCUGUCACUUAUAGAUGGAUCCGCGCCGCAUUAGCUAGUUGGUAAGGUAACGGCUUACCAAGGCAACGAUGCGUAGCCGACCUGAGAGGGUGAUCGGCCACACUGGAACUGAGACACGGUCCAGACUCCUACGGGAGGCAGCAGUAGGGAAUCUUCCGAAAUGGGCGAAAGCCUGACGGAGCAACGCCGCGUGAGUGAUGAAGGUCUUCGGAUCGUAAAACUCUGUUAUUAGGGAAGAACAAAUGUGUAAGUAACGAUGCACGUCUUGACGGUACCUAAUCAGAAAGCCACGGCUAACUACGU
rnacentral:rRNA from 1 species